UGGCUCAGAACGAACGCUGGCGGCGUGCCUAACACAUGCAAGUCGAACGAGAAAGUUUCUUCGGAAACGAGUAAAGUGGCGCACGGGUGAGUAACACGUGAAUAAUCUGCCUUCGAGACUGGGAUAACUUGACGAAAGUUAAGCUAAUACCAGAUAAGACCACGCUUUACAAGGAGUGCGGGAAAAGGGAUCUCAAAUCCUGCUCGUAGAUGAGUUCGCGUACCAUUAGCUUGUUGGUGAGAUAAAAGCUCACCAAGGCGACGAUGGUUAGCCGGCCUGAGAGGGUGAUCGGCCACACUGGAACUGAGACACGGUCCAGACUCCUACGGGAGGCAGCAGUGGGGAAUCUUGCGCAAUGGGCGAAAGCCUGACGCAGCAACGCCGCGUGAGCGAUGAAGGCCUUCGGGUCGUAAAGCUCUGUCAAGUGGGAAGAACACAAUGACGGUACCACUAGAGGAAGCCCCGGCUAACUUCGUGCCAGCAGCCGCGGUAAUACGAAGGGGGCAAGCGUUGUUCGGAAUUAUUGGGCGUAAAGCGUAUGUAGGUGGUUUAUCAAGUCAGACGUGCAAGCCCUCGGCUCAACCGAGGAAUUGCGUUUGAAACUGAUAGACUUGAGUGUAGGAGAGGAAAGCGGAAUUCCCAGUGUAGCGGUGAAAUGCGUUGAUAUUGGGAAGAACACCGGUGGCGAACGCAGCUUUCUGGCCUGCUACUGACACUGAGAUACGAAAGCCAGGGGAGCAAAGGGGAUUAGAUACCCCCGUAGUC
rnacentral:rRNA from 1 species